UUUCUGUGCACCCCAAGAUCUCUCUGAAUCCUCCCAGGGUUCUUUUUUCUGAGCUCUCAGUGCAUCCCCCCAGGAGGUUUCUGUGCACCCCAAGGUCCUGGUGCAUCCUCCUGGGAAGGUUCUGUACACCCCAAGGUCCUGGUGCAUCCUCCUGGGAAGGUUCUGUGCACCCCAAGGUCCUGGUGCAUCCCCCCAGGGGGUUCCUGUGCACCCCAAGGUCUUGGCCCAACCCCGGGGACGUUUCUGUGCCCCCCAAGACCUCGGUGCCCCCCCGGGUGGUUUCUGUGCCCCCCACCCCUGGGAGCUUUGCCGGGUGCCCCUCCCGUGACUGUUCACUUUAUUUAUGGUGUGACAUAUGUAAUAUUGUCUAUUUUUCUUACGUUUCCUGAGAAGAGGUAAUAUAUAAGAGUAUUGCAGCUGCCCCUGCUCGCCCGGGUGUCCGGCCUGUCCCUGCCCUCCCGCCUGUCCCCUCCUGUCCCCUCCUGUCCCCGCCUGUCCCCGCCUGUCCCCGCUCCUGCCGGGGCUCUGCCUCUCUACCUCCACCUCGCCGGGAAACCGCGGGCGAGAGCAUUUCCACAGGGACUGCUCUCCUUUCCACUCCACUCCCUGCUGGUUUGCUUUUUUGGAAUUAUUAUGAUUUUCUUCCCUUUUUUUUUUUUUAAUUUUUUUUUUCUUUUUUUUUGAUAAAAAUAAAACUACCCUACAGAACCUUGCAUUGAAACCAAAAGCCGAGGGAGGGGAGGGAGGGGACGGCGGUGACGGCCGGCGCAGCCUCACGGGUGGCCGAACCAGAACGACAGCUUUAAAUGUGAGAAUUCCCAAAAAAAAAUGUGUGCUGCGGGGAGGACGGAGCGGCCGCGGGGCUGCAGUGAUGCUGUGCUGUGGGGGCUUCCUCCGGAAUGGUGUUUUUGGGGUGUGGGGGGACCAAGGGGCGCGUGCCACGUGCUGUGCCCCUUUGGUGGCUUUGUGGCACCUCGGAGGUGGCGGUGGAUGAGCUGGCACAGCGCACGGGGUGCUCACAGCUCCCGGGUCCCUGCUCCCAUCACGGCUGGGGCAGGGGAUGGCGUUGGGGACACGGGGACAGCGGUGCCCGUGGGGAGGCAGAGCCCGGGGUCCCGGGUGUGGCUGUGUCACCGGGCUGAGGAGGUGGCAGCGGGGUCGUGGCUCUCUGGUGCCAGCCGCGGCACCGGUGUCCCCUCUGCAGCCCCUUCCUCACGUUCCCAGCCCAAAAUCCCAGCUGAAACCAAAGCGCCGCGUCCCGGCGGGGCUGGAUGGGGUCCCAAACCUGCCUGGCUCCUGCUCCAUCCCUGCCAGAGCCCCCCGAGCUCCCCCUGCAGCCUCCCCUCCUCCUCCUCCUCCUCCGGGGGCUGCUGGGGCCCCCCCUUCUCCUCGGGGUGCCUCUCUGCACCCCAGUGUGUCCGAGGCUGGGGACAAGAUGCCACUGUGUCCCCAAGUGCCAGGCACUGUGAUGGGGUGACCCCCUGGGGGCUCCUCCGAUGUCACCGAGCGCCACGGCCCCGGGAGGGGGAGGUCGUGCCAGUGUCCCCCCUCCCUCCCGGGGAUCGCUUCCCCCAUUCCUCGCGGGGCUGAGCCCUGCUCCUGCUGCCCUGCCAGCCCUGGGGUGGGGACACUGGGACACGGGGGGCCCUGAGGGGCUGGAAACCAGAGCCCCCCGCCGGGGCCAGGCGUGGGGCGUGGGGCCAGCCCAGAGAGAUGACGUGGUAGGACUUUCCUUCGGCAUGCUGUCCCCCCUUGCUGUUCCCCGCUUUCUCUAAGUGUACUGUAUGUUUGACCUGUGAAAGAUGUAAACUUUAUGAUUCAGGUUAUGUCUGUUCUUAACUCUGUAUCUGUGUAAUAAAGACAAUUUAAUAUCAA